GUGGAUUAGAUACCCUGGUAGUCCACGCCGUAAACGAUGGAUACUAGCUGUUGGGGGCAACUUCAGUGGCUAAGCGAAAGUGAUAAGUAUCCCACCUGGGGAGUACGUUCGCAAGAAUGAAACUCAAAGGAAUUGACGGGGGCCCGCACAAGCGGUGGAGCAUGUGGUUUAAUUCGAUGAUACGCGAGGAACCUUACCAAGGCUUAAAUGUAGAUUGACAGAUUUGGAAACAGAUUUUUCUUCGGACAAUUUACAAGGUGCUGCACGGCCGUCGCCAACU
rnacentral:rRNA from 1 species